UACUGUGGUGUAGUCGGUAGCGCCUUGGCCUAGUAAUUACAAGUCCCAGGUUCAAGUCCCGGUCAGAGUAA